AGUCCAGAAAUUUUCAGACUAAAUCUGGAGCUGGGGAGAUUCAUGUCGCCCUUGAAGACAAAUGCUGUGAAACUGAAUUGCUGUGAUAUCAAUCCUCAUCAUGGUUUGUUCACUUGUGGGACAACAGAAGGCAAAGUUGAGUGUUGGG